rnacentral:tRNA from 1 species
GCCAGCGCAGCACGACCGGUCGUGCACCCGUUUCGUAAUCGGGAGGUAGCGGGUUCGAGUCCCGCCGCUGGCUC